UACGGAGGGGGGCUAGCGUUGUUCGGAAUUACUGGGCGUAAAGCGCACGUAGGCGGCUUUGUAAGUUAGAGGUGAAAGCCCGGGGCUCAACUCCGGAAUUGCCUUAAGACUGCAUCGCUAGAAUUGUGGAGAGGUAAGUGGAAUUCCGAGUGUAGAGGUGAAAUUCGUAGAUAUUCGGAAGAACACCAGUGGCGAAGGCGACUUACUGGACACAUAUUGACGCUGAGGUGCGAAAGCGUGGGGAGCAAACAGG
rnacentral:rRNA from 1 species